AAAAAAAAAAAAAAACACGUCUGUUCAUUCUUAAUACAUAAUUCAAACUAAAUGCUGAUGAUUCUUGUAGGUCUGUAUGACCUCUCUUGCAGUGUUUGGUCAUGAAAAUGAGAAACUCAAACAUUAUUGAGGGACAGCAGCUGAUUCCAGUCAUAUUUUGGAGCCAACAAAGGAGAAGAAAACUCAAAAACCGGUAACGUACCACAUCAGUAUAAGGACUUUUGAAAUAGUGUUGUCUUUCUUUAGCAUCAGAAGCUAAAGAUGCCUGUCGAUACUGCAGAAGAAAAAGCCUACAAUCAUAUUCUUCAAUGUUCACGAGCAAGUUUCAGUUCAUCAAAAUAAGAUCACGGAACUUCACGCAUGUUGUGGAAGAGUCCUGCAGCGAAACACGACUGUGUCCAGCGUCAUUCUGUACAUCGAUACAUUUAUUAAUUCUAACUUUUCUGUACAUAAACAGGAAUUAUAUAGUAUUUCUCACAUCUGUUUCUCCCCAGCUCAUCUUUCAGACAUUGAAAGCACAUUUAAAACGUCGGUAAGGUGUUUGGCGUACUCGAGGUCUUCAGCACCACGUCAUCCGUCUCGUCACAGUGAAUUUGGGUUAAUUUCUAGCUGCGAUGACCACUGAUAAAGCUACACCGCCAAUCGCAACGGCUGUAGCCCCAAAGAGCCACUUCCAGCUGAGACUCUGUGAACAAGACAAAACUUGUUUAAAAGUAAUACUUAACUCAUUAUUUAUUCACCCUCAUGUUGUUUUAAAUCCACGUGGAUUUGUAUGGUAUCUUUCAGAAGUCUUUUUAUAGCUUUGUGGAAUGAACAAAUUAAAAUUUAACUGCACCGAUGAGCAGAAUCGUCAAUGAAUCGUUCAGUCUGAUUUGUGAACAAGAUUCACUAGAAAAGAAAUUGCUUUCGUGAAUGAUUUGCAUGGGAUACAUGGUGAUGGGAAACAAUUAGAUUACAUUUUUAAUUCUUUAACAUUCUUUAAAAACUGCUAUUAUCCUAUUACAUUACUUUGAUUCAGUGGAGUCAGAAUUGUUCACUUGAGAUCCACUCAGAAUGAUUCAGUCCAAUAAGUGAAUGAUUCACUGUAAACCAUUUGAUUAGAUCAGACUCAAAAGAACAAUUCUUUGAUGAAUCAGACACUGCUGGAAAUGAUGGUAGAGGGGAAAAAAUGAGAUGGGAGGAAAAUGUUUUAUUUACAUUUAUGAAUUUUUCAUGCCUCAUGAAUAAUUUCAAAGCUUGUGUGUUGACUGAAAUAAAGUGAUGUGCGAGGAAAAACUAUAUUUCA
ensembl:lncRNA